rnacentral:rRNA from 1 species
UGAUGACGAGACGCUAAGGCGUUGAAGCAGUGUAUGUCAGACUUCCAAGAAAAGCUCGCAAUGUCACAGAUAAAAAAUGCCUGUACCAUAACCGACACAGGUGGGUAGGUAGAGUAUACUAAGGGGCGCGAGAUAACUCUCUCUAAGGAACUCGGCAAAAUGACUCCGUAACUUCGGGAGAAGGAGUGCCUUAUUUAUAAGGUUGCAAUAACAAGAUCCAAGCAACUGUUUAUCAAAAACACAGGUCUCCGCUAAGUCGUAAGACGAUGUAUGGGGGCUGACGCCUGCCCAGUGCCAGAAGGUUAAAGAAGUUGGUUAGUGUAUGCGAAGCCGAUGACUGAAGCCCUGGUGAACGGCGGCCGUAACUAUAACGGUCCUAAGGUAGCGAAAUUCCUUGUCGGGUAAGUUCCGACCCGCACGAAAGGCGUAAUGAUUUGGAUACUGUCUCGGAGAGAGGCUCGGUGAAAUAGACUUGUCUGUGAAGAUGCGGACUACCUGCACCAGGACAGAAAGACCCUAUGAAGCUUUACUGUAACUUGAAAUUGGAAUUGGACUUUGCUUGCGCAGUAUAGGUGGGAAGCGUUGAAAAUAUUCUUGCGGGAGUAUUGGAGCUAUCAGUGAGAUACCACUCUUGUAAUGUUAGAUUUCUAACUUUGAACCAUAAUCUGGUCAAAGAACAGUUUCAGGUGGGCACUUUGACUGGGGCGGUCGCCUCCCAAAUGGUAACGGAGGCGUACAAAGGUUUCCUCUGAACGGAUAGAAAUCGUAUCUAGAGUGUAAAGGCAUAAGGAAGCUUGACUGUGAGACCUACAAGUCGAGCAGGGACGAAAGUCGGUCUUAGUGAUCUGACGGUACUGAGUGGAAAGGCCGUCACUCAACGGAUAAAAGUUACUCUAAGGAUAACAGGCUGAUCUCCCCCAAGAGUUCACAUCGACGGGGAGGUUUGGCACCUCGAUGUCGGCUCAUCGCAUCCUGGGGCGGUAGUACGUCCCAAGGGUUGGGCUAUUCGCCCAUGAAAGCGGUACGCGAGCUGGGUUCAGAACGUCGUGAGACAGUUCGGUCCAUAUCCGGUGUAGGCGCUAGAAUAUUGAGAGGAGCCUUCUUUAGUACGAGAGGACCGAGAAGGACACACCGCUGGUGUACCAGUUAUCGUGCCAACGGUAAACGCUGGGUAGCUAUGUGUGGAGUGGAUAACCGCUGAAAGCAUCUAAGUGGGAAGCCCACCUCGAGAUGAGUAUUCUCAUAAA